rnacentral:rRNA from 1 species
UACCCGCUGAACUUAAGCAUAUCAAUAAGCGGAGGAAAAGAAACUAACAAGGAUUCCCCUAGUAACUGCGAGUGAAGCGGGAAAAGCUCAAAUUUAAAAUCUGGCGGUCUUUGGCCGUCCGAGUUGUAGUCUGGAGAAGUGCUUUCCGCGCUGGACCGUGUAUAAGUCUCUUGGAACAGAGCGUCAUAGAGGGUGAGAAUCCCGUCUUUGACACGGACUACCAGUGCUUUGUGAUGCGCUCUCAAAGAGUCGAGUUGUUUGGGAAUGCAGCUCAAAAUGGGUGGUGAAUUCCAUCUAAAGCUAAAUAUUGGCGAGAGACCGAUAGCGAACAAGUACCGUGAGGGAAAGAUGAAAAGCACUUUGGAAAGAGAGUUAAACAGUACGUGAAAUUGCUGAAAGGGAAACGCUUGAAGUCAGUCGCGUUGUCCGGAACUCAGCCUUGCUUUCGCUUGGUGCACUUUCCGGAUGACGGGUCAGCAUCGAUUUUGACCGUCGGAAAAGGGCUGGAGUAAUGUGGCACCUCCGGGUGUGUUAUAGACUCCGGUCGCAUACGGCGGUUGGGAUCGAGGAACGCAGCGCGCCGCAAGGCAGGGGUUCGCCCACUUUCGCGCUUAGGAUGCUGGCAUAAUGGCUUUAAACGACCCGUCUUGAAACACGGACCAAGGAGUCUAACAUACCUGCGAGUGUUUGGGUGGCAAACCCGAGCGCGUAAUGAAAGUGAAAGUUGAGAUCCCUGUCGUGGGGAGCAUCGACGCCCGGACCUGACGUUCUCUGACGGAUCCGCGGUAGAGCAUGUAUGUUGGGACCCGAAAGAUGGUGAACUAUGCCUGAAUAGGGUGAAGCCAGAGGAAACUCUGGUGGAGGCUCGUAGCGAUUCUGACGUGCAAAUCGAUCGUCAAAUUUGGGUAUAGGGGCGAAAGACUAAUC